rnacentral:lncRNA from 10 species
CCUGGUCUCUGCAGAGGUGGGCGGGGGAGGCCAAGAACAGGCUUAAAAGGAAAGGAAUGGUCCUCUGUUUAAAGGCACGGGCCUGCUCUGCAUUUGGCGUGCAUACCCUGAGGCUGUUCAAUUCAUUCCUCCCCACUCCCCGUCUGUCUUGCUCCCUGGCUCACACCCUGGAUUGGCACAGAGGCGGUGCUGCAGGGAGCUCUACAGAGGGCUCCUGAGGCCAUGCCAGGGUCAGAGCAAGCUAGGGAGGGCAGAGACUGGGAGCGCUUGGGUGAUCAGCUCUGACUGAGGCGCCGUCAAGGCUCCAGUCACAGGAAAAGGAGAUGAGGACACAGGCACACACAGAGGAACGACCAUGUGAAGACUCAGAGAGAAGACGGCCUUCUGCAAACCCAGCAGGGAGGCCCAGGAGAAACUGACAUCUCGAUUUUGGACUUCCAGCCUCCAGGAUUGUGAAAAAAUAAACUUCUGUUGUUCAAGCUGUCCGUCUGCAGGAGUUUGUCGUGGCAGCUCCAGGAGGCGUGGGAAGAGAGCUUUCCAGUGCCUCUCCCUCAUGGGGAAUUCUGCCCACCUCUCCCUCCACUGGCACUCACACUGGCAUGUUCCUCCCCAUGCCCAGGCUCCCGAUGGACCCAAGCCAGCUUGCCUGCCAAGCAAAUCAAGCUCCAUUCGAAAUUCUUAAAUUGGCGAAACCAAGUAGACUUUAAGGAGGGCCCAAGACAGUUCUUCUUAUUCCCGCAGUCCCAGCACGAUGACUACUGCGUUUUUUCACUCCUUAAUCCUGUUUUGCAUGAUAAAUUAUGUAAUCAAUUCUGUCUCCAUACUUUUACCUAUGCCUGCUCCUAAGCAUCAGAAUACUAAGUAAUUAAUAAAAGAGAAUAAAUCAUUCUACUCAUUUUUGAAUACCGACAUUCAGUUUCUUUUCAGUGGGUUAGGAAAU